CAAGCAGAGGCAGAACAAAAGCAGGCUUAGACUUUGAUUGUGAGAGUGGAUUAUACAUUGCAACAAAAAAUUACCAUGAUGCCAGGUCAAGUCUGUUGAAAGUCUAGUUCUUGACUUGAAAGGGUCUUGAUCCUGAGACUUGGAAUGAGGAUGCCUGGGAAGAAACUGAGGGGCUAAGUCGGUCUGGGAUAUUUUGAUUCCUUUGAUCCCAUUUGCUCUUUUCCAGUUCAUCUACUGCUCUAUGAUACCACCCUGCCACCUGAAUUUGAAAACAGAUGAAGCUAAGCAGAAUCCAAACAAUGUAAAAAUGGGAUGAGAAAAAUCAUACCAUAAAUGAAGUCCUCAAGGCAAAAGAUGCUGCCUCGAAGACCUGCUGCUGGUCUAGUUUUGAACACCAUGCCAGUAUGACAGACCUUUCCUGCUGAUGUCUCAAGUUGUCUUAGACUGGAAAAUGAUUUCAUCCUAACUUUUUGCUGAUUCUGCAGCUCCAGAAUUUGAGGCAUUAUUUCAUAUUGUUUGGAGGGGAAUUUGGGAGAAUUCUAAUGAGUUUCUUGCUCUAAUGAACCAUCUUUGUUCUGACCUCCUCAGACUGAAAACUUAAUAAUAGGUAUUAAUAUGAAAUGGAUGCAGAACAAGCAAAGGUCAGAAUUAGUUUAUUGAGGAUAAUUGGUGAGUAUGAUACAGACACACAGACAGAUGCAGAUUAAGGAGAAUGAGGAAAAUCCAAAAAUGUUUAUCCAAUGCCAAAGAUGGACAGGACAAUGAUAAUAAAUGAUACAGACAAGGUAGAACAAAACAACUUUUAUUUUAUUUCUGUUUUGUUUAUAGGGUCUCAUGGAGGAAGAUUUCUAGUCUAUGAAUAUAGAUCAAAAAAGUUUAAACACGGAUCAUGUAUGCUUUUUAAUUUAUUUUCAUUUUUCUUUUAUCAUUUAUUCAUUCUUUUUUCAUUUAUUGUUGAUCCUUUUAACCUGAUUGAUUACAAGACCAACAAGAGCAUUUUAGUCCUAGCGAUUAUUCCAUAUGUUAGAACAUACAUUUUGUACUUUAGACAACAUUUAACACCAGCCUAUGGGUACUUUACUCUUUUUUGUAAAGUUCAAAAUAAAGAUUCUUUUCAAGUAAGUGA